rnacentral:rRNA from 1 species
AGGACGAACGCUGGCGGCGUGCUUAACACAUGCAAGUCGAGCGACGCUCCUCCUUCGGGAGGAUGACGGAGCGGCGAACGGGUGAGUAACACGUGGGCAACCUGCCCCUAGCUCUGGGAUAACCCCGGGAAAUCGGGACUAAUACCGGAUAUGACCUCGGAAGGCAUCUUCUGAGGUGGAAAAGGUUUACUGGCUAGGGAUGGGUCCGCGGCCUAUCAGCUUGUUGGUGGGGUAACGGCCCACAAGGCGACGACGGGUAGCCGGCCUGAGAGGGCGACCGGCCACACUGGGACUGAGACACGGCCCAGACUCCUACGGGAGGCAGCAGUGGGGAAUAUUGCACAAUGGGCGAAAGCCUGAUGCAGCGACGCCGCGUGAGGGAUGAAUGCCUUCGGGUUGUAAACCUCUUUCAGCAGGGACGAAGCGCAAGUGACGGUACCUGCAGAAGAAGCACCGGCCAACUACGUGCCAGCAGCCGCGGUAA